rnacentral:rRNA from 1 species
UGGGGAAUUUUCCGCAAUGGGCGAAAGCCUGACGGAGCAAUACCGCGUGAGGGAUGACGGCCUAUGGGUUGUAAACCUCUUUUUUCAGGGAGGAAUCAAUGACGUGUACCUGAAGAAUAAGCAUCGGCUAACUCCGUGCCAGCAGCCGCGGUAAGACGGAGGAUGCAAGUGUUAUCCGGAAUCACUGGGCGUAAAGCGUCUGUAGGUGGCUAAUUAAGUCAACUGUUAAAUCUUGAGGCUUAACCUCAAAAUCGCAGUCGAAACUGAUUGGCUAGAGUAUAGUAGGGGUAAAGGGAAUUUCCAGUGGAGCGGUGAAAUGCGUAGAGAUUGGAAAGAACACCGAUGGCGAAGGCACUUUACUGGGCUAUUACUAACACUCAGAGACGAAAGCUAGGGUAGCAAAUGGGAUUAGAUACCCCAGUAGUC